CGGUAAGGCAACGGUUUUUGGUACCGUCAUGCGCUGGUUCGAAUCCAGCUAGCCCAA
rnacentral:tRNA from 1 species